rnacentral:tRNA from 1 species
UGACCCUGUCGUCCAGAGGCCUAGGACAGUGGCCUUUCACGCCACCAACACGGGUUCGAAUCCCGUCAGGGUCGUC